AUUUAUAUAGUUUAAAAAACACUCCAUUUUCAAUGGAGAGAUAAGAUAAUUUUCUUUAUAAA
rnacentral:tRNA from 1 species